GCGAAGUUAGUUCAAUGGUAGAAUUUCUGCCUUCCAAGCAGACGGCCCGGGUUCGAUUCCCGGACUUCGCA